GACGAACGCUGGCGGCGUGCUUAACACAUGCAAGUCGAACGGAAAGGCCCUGCUUUUGUGGGGUGCUCGAGUGGCGAACGGGUGAGUAACACGUGAGUAACCUGCCCUUGACUUUGGGAUAACUUCAGGAAACUGGGGCUAAUACCGGAUAGGAGCUCCCGCUGCAUGGUGGGGGUGGGAAAGUUUCGGCGGGUGGGGAUGGACGCGCGGGUUACCGGCUUGUUGGUUGGGUAGUGGCUUACCAAGUAUUUGACGGGUAGCCGGCCUGUGAGGGUGACCGGCCACAUUGGGACUGAGGUACGGCCCAGACUCCAACGGGGGGCAGCGGUGGCGAAUAUUGCACAAUGGGCGGAAGCCUGAUGCAGAAACGCCGCGUGCGGAAUGACGGCCUUCGGGUUGUAAACCGCUUUCGCCUAUGACGAAGCGUGAGUGACGGUAAUGGGUAAAGAAGCACCGGCUAACUACGUG
rnacentral:rRNA from 1 species